UUUUUUUUUUUUCCGAGCAGCUGUGAGAUGCAAAAGAUCCAAGUGUGGAGCGUGAGCUGCCUGGACUUGGGGAAGGAGGGUGGUGGUUACCCAGGGGGGAAACUUGCACAGAUAGAAUAACUGGAAGGGAACAGCGUGUGCGGAGAGCGCUUGGAUGCCAAGGAACACCUUGCUUUCCUGUCCUGCAUGACUGUGGUUGUAUUUCUGCACAGCCUGAUUGUGCCAGAUUUCCUGCUGUGGGUCAUCACCUAUGGGGGAUGGCAGCAAUUACAGCUAACAAGUUUCAGGUGCUCGCACUUUGCUGGAUCAGGGGUGGAGGCUGCCCAGCACCGUCCUGCAGCAAAUACUGGGCAGGCACCAAACCUCUUUGCUAGUCUGGAGCUGGGAGCUUUUAGUCAGGCUCCGGGAAGGAAAAGGGGCUGGUUUGACUAACAGGCCUGUCCCUGGAGCCUCUCCAGUUCCUGACGUGUAAGCUGGAGGGUAAAUAGCACGUGCCUCUGGAACGAAUCUUUUGGGAUAUGUAUGGAUGAACAGCUCCUUAAGCUGCCUGCUUACCACAGGUUUAUUCUAGGUACUUGCUGGAAAGGCUCCACAAAUCACAGGGGUUGUGUGUGCCAGCAGGAGGAAGAAGAUGGAUGGGAGCGAGCUCCUGCUCCUGGGAGAUGUUUUGCCUCUUGACACGGAGAACAAGCUGUAAAAUGUUCCCACCAUGUUUUUAUGGAUCUGCCGCACAGGCGGACGUUGCUCAGCUCCAGCACGCUUGUGCAAAAUGUGUCGGUGCAGGGAUGACUGAAGUGAGCGACUUCCCUUUCCUCUGGGAGUGCACACGAGGCCGCCGCUCUGCCAAGCACCAAAAGCUGCACCCAAGCCUCCUGCUAGCCAGUGUGAAUAAAAGCUCCAUGCAACUGCAACGGUGAUCCUUGGCGGCAGGUACAACAGGAAGACAGUAAGAGGCACUUUGCUUUGGCAAGCCUGGAACCAGUGUGCAAGGUAGAGCAAGGAAACAGAGGAGCAGAGAAAUCGGCACAUGCAAGUUCAUUUAAUUGGCCUGGUAUUUCUUCAGACUUGGCAAUGAAUUCCUUGACAUCCCGUUAUAAUUUUAUGAGCUGGUUGAGAUUGUCAUAUUGCAUUAGCUCCUGACGAGCCUCCAUGUAGGGAGGCGCACAAGCCCGUGUAUUUUGUCCACCUAUGUGCAAUGCCAGAGAUAGGUGGGUAGGUUUUUGUCUCAUUUACCCAUGUAGGAGGAGACAGUUGAAGCAACCUACAAAGCAGCCAGCUGUUGUGUCCUACUGCCACAGGGGGCUAUCUCAGAUCCUUGAAAAUCCCAUUGUGAACCUUCAAUGCCAGCACCAGUCCACACAUGGAAAUGCAGGUGUGGAAGCCAAAACCAAAGGAAUGAAUCUGUGAGCAUGAGCCUACUGUCCAGGCUAGAGCAGUUGUCCUAGGUGUGGACUGAUACCCCAUGAUAUUGUAGCCUAUGGUGAUCUGUAAACAGACCUGCUCCAGCAUCUCACCUGUAUGAACUGACUGACUUUGCCUGUUCAUAGAAAAAGCAUUAGUGGUCCACCUUCCAUGCCUUCUCUGAAGUGUUUUAUGCGCUGCUUCCCUUCAUGCAGAGUAAACAAGUAAAUGGACUGAAGGGAAUUUUCUAAGUGGUAGUUAUAUACAUAACAAAAAUGCACAUAUGACCUGUCAUCUGUUUCUUUUUCCCAAUGAACUGCAAAAUCAACACACAAAUAUGUUUAUACAAACAGGCCAGAAAAACAGCUGGCUCAUCAAAUAAAAGGGGCACGUUGGCUCUGUUAGACCAAGUGUUCAACUGGAUCCCCUGUAUUUAUAAAGUGAGAAAGUAGAGCAUAUUUGAAAAUGCAGGUGUAUAAAUAUUUCUGCCAGACCUGAUGAAGUAUUUGAAGUCUCCCUCAAGCCGCUGCUCUGACUCACCACUUUCCAGCAUGUGGGGAAUGCUGCCUUGUGGGCAGCAGCAGUCCAGUUCCUGCAGCCAGCAUCGGCUGUGGCCCUGGGGUUGUCAUCCUGAUGGGGGGUUGCUGAGGAGCACUGUAGGAUGCCCCUCGGUCUGACCUUGACUCUGUGAGCAUGAUGGAAGUGAGGCCAAGUAGUAAGUGAAAUCUGGGAUGGAGGCUUCAUCCACGGUGCAAGCAGGGGGUUGACUCUGUGGAGGUGCUUCAGGCAGAUGUGGAGCUGACCGUUUGUUUCCUUGGCCUGGCAUCCGUGGAAGAAGGCUGCAACUUAACUGCCAACAUGGAAAAAACGUCUCAGUUCUUAAGUAUAAACUUCAAAGGCGGUCAUUAUAUUUAAUGUUACAACCCCCCUAAUAAUCCUGAGGAGGGAGAGCAGAGCAACAACGCUGGCACUGAUGCAAACUGCAGACUCAAUGCAAAUAUUAUAUUAGAUACUUCCCAGCUAUGACUUCCUCUGGGGUGCUGUCUCUGCUGCACAUGGAAAAGUAAAUCCUUUCAUAAUAAAACACAUGCAUACACAUACACACCCAGGCACACACCUGCAGAGCCUUAACACAACCGUUGCAUAACACAGGCUUUCUCAGCAAAGCUAGCACAAGAGUUCUGUCCUUAUGGAAUGAUGAUCCCGUGGUUUAUCUAAGCUGCAGCCAGCACAGGGUAUUAUGCUUAUAAAAAAUAAGGUAUUCAAUAUUUCAUCUGCUUUCCUGUACAUAGACACAAAGUCCACAACUAAACAAAGCAAUUAUUAAUAGCUUUUCCUCAGUUACAGUUUUGUUGUUGUUGUUGUCAUUGAAUGGGACUUCUACAUGGAAAGUCUGACUAAAUGAUAAAAACUUUCUAAGCUGAAGGAACAGGAAGAAAUGGAAGAUCCAUGGUAAAGUUUGAAACCAGAGUAAAGUUUAAUAACCUAAAGCCCUAAAACCAGUUGAACAUUGUUCUUCAAACUUUACCAGUAUAAUAUAUUUUGUCUUUGAAGAAAAUCUGGCAAAUUUUGUGCCCAACAAAAUUUUGUGGGCAAGCUUCCUCUGAGGAAGAAAGGGAGCUGGUUGUAAUGUUAAUGAUAUUCCACAAUUAACAAAACAUGAUCUGAAGCUAUCAAGCUAAUGAUAAACUUUCAUGCCAGCUAUGGAAGUAUUACAUUUCUACCAAACUCUCGUGCCAAUGUUACUUCAGGAGCCUUGUGAGCAGCCUCUGCCACUGCACUGACUGAAUUAUGUGACUAAAAGGCCAAAUCUUAACCUUUUUUGGUAUAUUUUGGUAUUUCUGAGCAUAAAAUUAAGUCUGCAUGAAAGUGUGUCCUGGCUGAAGGCCUGAGAAGGAGUUUCAGCUGCGAAACAAUAAUGUUUAAGACAUGAUCUUGCUUUAUGGAAAACUGUGGCACAGCUCCUGCUUCUUUCAAAAGGAACUGGGCUUUACCCAUAAUAUUUAGGUUACACUGCCAGUAAAUUGCCUUGUACUGAGCUUAGGUUUAGAAUUCAGAGAAUAUUGUUUCUUUAGUUCAUGGUGAAGGAAGC